GGUCCCUCUGAGGUAGGGAACAUGGCCUCGCCUCUGAUGAGCAAAGUCAGCAGCAGGACACUUGGUCCCUCUCCAGGGGAGGAAUGGAAUCAAAAGAAGAGGCAGGAAGAGAGGACACUUUCUGAGUACGUCCUACACCAGACAACCAAGCCCUUCUAAAGCAUCUCAUUUAAAUUCAUAGUAUCCUAGAAGGGCCUGGUAUUUGCCUGAUUCAUCUCAUGCUUCACAAAGCCCAGUGGCCCUAAAUGCUGCAUGAACAAACAAAUGAGUGAAUUGAUCCUUACGGAAGAAGGGAUUGGGGGACAGACUGAGGAAUCCAUAGACAGCCUCACCUAAUGACUGAUGACAGACCACCAGACACCUGUGAGUCCACCUUGAGACUGGAGACACUAAGAAUGCCCAUCAGAGGAUCAAGGAGCCCUGUACCGCCCCUUCCCUACCUGGGUUAGCUGAGCCCUCUGUCCUCCUGCUGAUGGAACCAAGGAUGCAUUCCCUUUCUUCUUUAUUCUGGGCUGACUCGUGUGUCGACUUCCAUGGGGUCUCCUCCAUGGGACCCUGUCCUUCCCUAGCCUGCCUGGGGGGUAAGUCUGCCCAGGUCCCCCAACAUAAUCACACUCAGCCAUCCCCACUAAAAGUUGCAAUGCCUCUCAGUAAACAGGCAGCACAAACAACACGUUGAAUUUACAAAUAUUUUUAAGAGGGCAAAUGUCUUCCAAUCAUGUACCCUGAGUCUCCCGUUUCUGAGAUGUCCCCUGAAUCUCUGGGGCUCUCAAUGUUCCUGGCUCACUUGGCAAAGUGGAGCUCAGCAAGCUUUCCAACCUCUCAGGACCCUGCAGUUCUCUGGGCCACGCAAGACCUCUAUUAUCCAUCAGUGAUGCAGCUGAUCCCAGCACACG